rnacentral:rRNA from 1 species
AUGAACACUGGCGGCAGGCCUAACACAUGCAAGUCGAGCGGAUGAGGGAAGCUUGCUUCCCGAUUUAGCGGCGGACGGGUGAGUAAUGCCUAGGAAUCUGCCUAUUAGUGGGGGAUAACGUUCCGAAAGGAACGCUAAAACCGCAUACGUCCUACGGGAGAAAGUGGGGGAUCUUCGGACCUCACGCUAAUAGAUGAGCCUCGGUCGGAUUCGCUAGUUGGUGAGGUAACGGCUCACCAAGGCGACGAUCCGUAGCUGGUCUGAGAGGAUGAUCAGCCACACUGGAACUGAGACACGGUCCAGACUCCUACGGGAGGCAGCAGUGGGGAAUAUUGGACAAUGGGCGAAAGCCUGAUCCAGCCAUGCCGCGUGUGUGAAGAAGGUCUUCGGAUUGUAAAGCACUUUAAGUUGGGAGGAAGAGUUGUAAGCUAAUAUCUUGCAGCUUUGACGUUACCAACAGAAUAAGCACCGGCUAACUCUGUGCCAGCCGCCGCAGUAACAC